rnacentral:rRNA from 1 species
GGCGGACGGGUGAGUAACGCGUAAAGAACUUGCCCUUUAGACUGGGAUAACAGAGGGAAACUUCUGAUAAUACUGGAUAAGUUAGUAUAUCGCAUGAUAUGCAAAUGAAAGCUACGGCACUAAAGGAGAGCUUUGCGUCCUAUUAGCUAGUUGGUAAGGUAAGAGCUUACCAAGGCGACGAUAGGUAGCCGGCCUGAGAGGGUGGACGGCCACAAGGGGACUGAGAUACGGCCCUUACUCCUACGGGAGGCAGCAGCC